rnacentral:rRNA from 1 species
AGAGUUUGAUCAUGGCUCAGAUUGAACGCUGGCGGCAGGCCUAACACAUGCAAGUCGAGCGGUAACACAGAGAGCUUGCUCUCGGGUGACGAGCGGCGGACGGGUGAGUAAUGUCUGGGAAACUGCCUGAUGGAGGGGGAUAACUACUGGAAACGGUAGCUAAUACCGCAUAACGUCGCAAGACCAAAGUGGGGGACCUUCGGGCCUCAUGCCAUCAGAUGUGCCCAGAUGGGAUUAGCUAGUAGGUGGGGUAACGGCUCACCUAGGCGACGAUCCCUAGCUGGUCUGAGAGGAUGACCAGCCACACUGGAACUGAGACACGGUCCAGACUCCUACGGGAGGCAGCAGUGGGGAAUAUUGCACAAUGGGCGCAAGCCUGAUGCAGCCAUGCCGCGUGUGUGAAGAAGGCCUUCGGGUUGUAAAGCACUUUCAGCGGGGAGGAAGGCGAUAAGGUUAAUAACCUUGUCGAUUGACGUUACCCGCAGAAGAAGCACCGGCUAACUCCGUGCCAGCAGCCGCGGUAAUACGGAGGGUGCAAGCGUUAAUCGGAAUUACUGGGCGUAAAGCGCACGCAGGCGGUCUGUCAAGUCGGAUGUGAAAUCCCCGGGCUCAACCUGGGAACUGCAUUCGAAACUGGCAGGCUAGAGUCUUGUAGAGGGGGGUAGAAUUCCAGGUGUAGCGGUGAAAUGCGUAGAGAUCUGGAGGAAUACCGGUGGCGAAGGCGGCCCCCUGGACAAAGACUGACGCUCAGGUGCGAAAGCGUGGGGAGCAAACAGGAUUAGAUACCCUGGUAGUCCACGCCGUAAACGAUGUCGAUUUGGAGGUUGUGCCCUUGAGGCGUGGCUUCCGGAGCUAACGCGUUAAAUCGACCGCCUGGGGAGUACGGCCGCAAGGUUAAAACUCAAAUGAAUUGACGGGGGCCCGCACAAGCGGUGGAGCAUGUGGUUUAAUUCGAUGCAACGCGAAGAACCUUACCUGGUCUUGACAUCCACAGAACUUUCCAGAGAUGGAUUGGUGCCUUCGGGAACUGUGAGACAGGUGCUGCAUGGCUGUCGUCAGCUCGUGUUGUGAAAUGUUGGGUUAAGUCCCGCAACGAGCGCAACCCUUAUCCUUUGUUGCCAGCGGUUAGGCCGGGAACUCAAAGGAGACUGCCAGUGAUAAACUGGAGGAAGGUGGGGAUGACGUCAAGUCAUCAUGGCCCUUACGACCAGGGCUACACACGUGCUACAAUGGCAUAUACAAAGAGAAGCGACCUCGCGAGAGCAAGCGGACCUCAUAAAGUAUGUCGUAGUCCGGAUUGGAGUCUGCAACUCGACUCCAUGAAGUCGGAAUCGCUAGUAAUCGUAGAUCAGAAUGCUACGGUGAAUACGUUCCCGGGCCUUGUACACACCGCCCGUCACACCAUGGGAGUGGGUUGCAAAAGAAGUAGGUAGCUUAACCUUCGGGAGGGCGCUUACCACUUUGUGAUUCAUGACUGGGGUGAAGUCGUAACAAGGUAACCGUAGGGGAACCUGCGGUUGGAUCACCU